UAGUCAGGAUUCACGAGUCCAGGGACCAAG
rnacentral:piRNA from 1 species